GACGAACGCUGGCGGUGUGCUUAACACAUGCAAGUCGAACGGAAAGGCCCUGCUUUUGUGGGGUGCUCGAGUGGCGAUCGGGUGAGUAACACGUGAGUAACCUGCCCUUGACUUUGGGAUAACUUCAGGUAACUGGGGUUAAUCCCGGAUAGGAGCUCCUGCUGCAUGGUGGGCGUUGGAAAGUUUCGGCUGUUGGGGUUGGAUUCGCGGCUUAUCAGCUUGUUGGUGGGGUAGUGGCUUACCAAGGCUUUGACGGGUAGCCGACCUGAGUGGGUGACCGGCGACAUGGGGACUAAGGGACGGCGCAGACUCGUACGGGAGGCAGCAGGGGGGAAUAUUGCACAAUGGGCGGAAGUCUGAGGCAACGACGCCGGGGGCGGAAUGACGUCCUUCGGGUAGUAAACAGCUUUCGGCUGUGACGAAGCGUGAGUGACGGUAAUGAGAAAAGAAGCACCGGCUAACUACGUG
rnacentral:rRNA from 1 species